GAUGAUUCCCCGAUUGUAGAUGAGGCUGAGCUGCCUAAGAUCGAGGUCAAACCUGUUUACAACAAAGACGACUUUUUCGAUAGCCUCUCA